AUACCUUUCUCGGCCUUUUGGCUAAGAUCAAGUGUAGUAUCUGUUCUUAUCAGUUUAAUAUCUGAUAUGUGAGUCAUCGGCUCACACGAUAUUAAAUUUAUUUUUUGAGGGGGAGAGUCCGUAGUGGAGCUUGCUGCCGGGGCUCUUGAGCGUCGCCUUGGUGUUGCACUACUACCACGGCCUGGCGCACCCCAC